CAAAGGAUAGUUUAAAUAAAAUAUUAGUUUUGGAAAUUAAUGAAAAGAUUCUCUUUCCUUUGA
rnacentral:tRNA from 1 species